ACACAGCUGACUCGUCCUAAAUAGGACGAAACGCGCGUCCUGGAU
rnacentral:hammerhead_ribozyme from 1 species